UCGGGACGAACGCUGGCGGCGCGCCUAACACAUGCCAGUCGAACGAGAGAUGAGGAGCUUGCUCUUCAAAUCGAGUGGCGAACGGGUGAGUAACGCGUGAGGAACCUGCCUCAAAGAGGGGGACAACAGUUGGAAACGACUGCUAAUACCGCAUAAGCCCACGGCUCGGCAUCGAGCAGAGGGAAAAGGAGCAAUCCGCUUUGAGUUGGCCUCGCGUCCGAUUAGCUAGUUGGUGAGGUAACGGCCCACCAAGGCGACGAUCGGUAGCCGGACUGAGAGGUUGAACGGCCACAUUGGGACUGAGACACGGCCCAGACUCCUACGGGAGGCAGCAGUGGGGAAUAUUGCACAAUGGGGGAAACCCUGAUGCAGCGACGCCGCGUGGAGGAAGAAGGUCUUCGGAUUGUAAACUCCUGUUGUUGAGGAAGAUAAUGACGGUACUCAACAAGGAAGUGACGGCUAACUACGUGCCAGCAGCCGCGGUAAAACGUAGGUCACAAGCGUUGUCCGGAAUUACUGGGUGUAAAGGGAGCGCAGGCGGGAGAACAAGUUGGAAGUGAAAUCCAUGGGCUCAACCCAUGAACUGCUUUCAAAACUGUUUUUCUUGAGUAGUGCAGAGGUAGGCGGAAUUCCCGGUGUAGCGGUGGAAUGCGUAGAUAUCGGGAGGAACACCAGUGGCGAAGGCGGCCUACUGGGCACCAACUGACGCUGAGGCUCGAAAGUGUGGGUAGCAAACAGGAUUAGAUACCCUGGUAGUCCACACCGUAAACGAUGAUUACUAGGUGUUGGAGGAUUGACCCCUUCA
rnacentral:rRNA from 1 species